GGAGGGGUGCAAGCGUUAAUCGGAAUUACUGGGCGUAAAGCGCACGCAGGCGGAUACUUAAGUCGGAUGUGAAAGCCCCGGGGCUCAACCUGGGGAACUGCAUUCGAUACUGGGUAUCUAGAGUAUGGUAGAGGAAAGUAGAAUUCCCGGUGUAGCGGUGAAAUGCGUAGAUAUCGGGAGGAAUAUCAGUGGCGAAGGCGACUUUCUGGACCAAUACUGACGCUCAUGUGCGAAAGCGUGGGGAGCAAACAGGAUUAGAGACCCUGGUAGUCCACGCCGUAAACGAUGAGAACUAGGUGUUGGGAGAUUUAAUCUCUUAGUGCCGAAGCUAACGCAUUAAGUUCUCCGCCUGGGGAGUACGGCCGCAAGGCUA
rnacentral:rRNA from 1 species